GCGCCGGCUAACUCCGUGCCAGCAGCCGCGGUAAUACGGAGGGUGCGAGCGUUAAUCGGAAUUACUGGGCGUAAAGCGCAUGCAGGUGGUUUGUUAAGUCAGAUGUGAAAGACCCGGGGCUCAACCUCGGAAUAGCAUUUGAAACUGGCAGACUAGAGUACUGUAGAGGGGGGUAGGAAUUUCAGGUGUAGCGGUGAAAUGCGUAGAGAUCUGAAGGAAUACCGGUGGCGAAGGCGGCCCCCUCGGACAGAUACUGACACUCAGAUGCGAAAGCGUGGGGAGCAAACAGGAUUAGAUACCCUGGUAG
rnacentral:rRNA from 1 species